rnacentral:rRNA from 3 species
GAUUAAGUUAUUAAGGGCGCACGGUGGAUGCCUUGGCACUAGAAGCCGAUGAAGGACGUUACUAACGACGAUAUGCUUUGGGGAGCUGUAAGUAAGCUUUGAUCCAGAGAUUUCCGAAUGGGGAAACCCAGCAUGAGUUAUGUCAUGUUAUCGAUAUGUGAAUACAUAGCAUAUCAGAAGGCACACCCGGAGAACUGAAACAUCUUAGUACCCGGAGGAAGAGAAAGAAAAUUCGAUUCCCUUAGUAGCGGCGAGCGAAACGGGAAGAGCCCAAACCAACAAGCUUGCUUGUUGGGGUUGUAGGACACUCUAUACGGAGUUACAAAGGACGACAUUAGACGAAUCAUCUGGAAAGAUGAAUCAAAGAAGGUAAUAAUCCUGUAGUCGAAAAUGUUGUCUCUCUUGAGUGGAUCCUGAGUACGACGGAGCACGUGAAAUUCCGUCGGAAUCUGGGAGGACCAUCUCCUAAGGCUAAAUACUCUCUAGUGACCGAUAGUGAACCAGUACCGUGAGGGAAAGGUGAAAAGCACCCCGGAAGGGGAGUGAAAUAGAACCUGAAACCGUGUGCUUACAAGUAGUCAGAGCCCGUUAAUGGGUGAUGGCGUGCCUUUUGUAGAAUGAACCGGCGAGUUACGAUUUGAUGCAAGGUUAAGCAGUAAAUGUGGAGCCGUAGCGAAAGCGAGUCUGAAUAGGGCGUUUAGUAUUUGGUCGUAGACCCGAAACCAGGUGAUCUACCCUUGGUCAGGUUGAAGUUCAGGUAACACUGAAUGGAGGACCGAACCGACUUACGUUGAAAAGUGAGCGGAUGAACUGAGGGUAGCGGAGAAAUUCCAAUCGAACCUGGAGAUAGCUGGUUCUCUCCGAAAUAGCUUUAGGGCUAGCCUCAAGUGAUGAUUAUUGGAGGUAGAGCACUGUUUGGACGAGGGGCCCCUCUCGGGUUACCGAAUUCAGACAAACUCCGAAUGCCAAUUAAUUUAACUUGGGAGUCAGAACAUGGGUGAUAAGGUCCGUGUUCGAAAGGGAAACAGCCCAGACCACCAGCUAAGGUCCCAAAAUAUAUGUUAAGUGGAAAAGGAUGUGGCGUUGCCCAGACAACUAGGAUGUUGGCUUAGAAGCAGCCAUCAUUUAAAGAGUGCGUAAUAGCUCACUAGUCGAGUGACACUGCGCCGAAAAUGUACCGGGGCUAAACAUAUUACCGAAGCUGUGGAUUGUCCUUUGGACAAUGGUAGGAGAGCGUUCUAAGGGCGUUGAAGCAUGAUCGUAAGGACAUGUGGAGCGCUUAGAAGUGAGAAUGCCGGUGUGAGUAGCGAAAGACGGGUGAGAAUCCCGUCCACCGAUUGACUAAGGUUUCCAGAGGAAGGCUCGUCCGCUCUGGGUUAGUCGGGUCCUAAGCUGAGGCCGACAGGCGUAGGCGAUGGAUAACAGGUUGAUAUUCCUGUACCACCUAUAAUCGUUUUAAUCGAUGGGGGGGACGCAGUAGGAUAGGCGAAGCGUGCGAUUGGAUUGCACGUCUAAGCAGUAAGGCUGAGUAUUAGGCAAAUCCGGUACUCGUUAAGGCUGAGCUGUGAUGGGGAGAAGACAUUGUGUCUUCGAGUCGUUGAUUUCACACUGCCGAGAAAAGCCUCUAGAUAGAAAAUAGGUGCCCGUACCGCAAACCGACACAGGUAGUCAAGAUGAGAAUUCUAAGGUGAGCGAGCGAACUCUCGUUAAGGAACUCGGCAAAAUGACCCCGUAACUUCGGGAGAAGGGGUGCUCUUUAGGGUUAACGCCCAGAAGAGCCGCAGUGAAUAGGCCCAAGCGACUGUUUAUCAAAAACACAGGUCUCUGCUAAACCGUAAGGUGAUGUAUAGGGGCUGACGCCUGCCCGGUGCUGGAAGGUUAAGAGGAGUGGUUAGCUUCUGCGAAGCUACGAAUCGAAGCCCCAGUAAACGGCGGCCGUAACUAUAACGGUCCUAAGGUAGCGAAAUUCCUUGUCGGGUAAGUUCCGACCCGCACGAAAGGCGUAACGAUUUGGGCACUGUCUCAACGAGAGACUCGGUGAAAUCAUAGUACCUGUGAAGAUGCAGGUUACCCGCGACAGGACGGAAAGACCCCGUGGAGCUUUACUGUAGCCUGAUAUUGAAAUUCGGCACAGCUUGUACAGGAUAGGUAGGAGCCUUUGAAACGUGAGCGCUAGCUUACGUGGAGGCGCUGGUGGGAUACUACCCUAGCUGUGUUGGCUUUCUAACCCGCACCACUUAUCGUGGUGGGAGACAGUGUCAGGCGGGCAGUUUGACUGGGGCGGUCGCCUCCUAAAAGGUAACGGAGGCGCUCAAAGGUUCCCUCAGAAUGGUUGGAAAUCAUUCAUAGAGUGUAAAGGCAUAAGGGAGCUUGACUGCGAGACCUACAAGUCGAGCAGGGUCGAAAGACGGACUUAGUGAUCCGGUGGUUCCGCAUGGAAGGGCCAUCGCUCAACGGAUAAAAGCUACCCCGGGGAUAACAGGCUUAUCUCCCCCAAGAGUUCACAUCGACGGGGAGGUUUGGCACCUCGAUGUCGGCUCAUCGCAUCCUGGGGCUGUAGUCGGUCCCAAGGGUUGGGCUGUUCGCCCAUUAAAGCGGUACGCGAGCUGGGUUCAGAACGUCGUGAGACAGUUCGGUCCCUAUCCGUCGUGGGCGUAGGAAAUUUGAGAGGAGCUGUCCUUAGUACGAGAGGACCGGGAUGGACAUACCUCUGGUGUACCAGUUGUCGUGCCAACGGCAUAGCUGGGUAGCUAUGUGUGGACGGGAUAAGUGCUGAAAGCAUCUAAGCAUGAAGCCCCCCUCAAGAUGAGAUUUCCCAACUUCGGUUAUAAGAUCCCUCAAAGAUGAUGAGGUUAAUAGGUUCGAGGUGGAAGCAUGGUGACAUGUGGAGCUGACGAAUACUAAUCGAUCGAAGACUUAAUCAA